rnacentral:misc_RNA from 1 species
AGCAGGGACUUUGUAGCAAACGUACGUGAUGAUAAAAUAAUGACGCAAUAUUGUCUUUCUGACCCUGCAUGGCGGCUUGAACUAACUCUUGGGUCCUGCUCUACAGUUGUGUACAGCUCGGAUUUUCUUGCUUAUCUACAGAAGAGUGUCGAUAGAGAGGGUCUUCACUCCAUCCCGCAAGUACAGAUGGUCGGCUCGAGUUAAAUUUCGUGAUACCAUGCUGCCCGGCAAACCAUGCUGCGUCCACACUCUCUGAUGAGUUGUCGAUAUCUCACAGAUGGAGUAAUCAUUAUUCUACAGCAUCUAAGAGAACGUACGACAGCUGCACGCAGUUGCGAUGUUGCCCAGUGGUCAGUGAGGCAAGCUUUCUGUACCCGGGUUCUCCAACAAAGUCAUCGUUGUCUUAAGAUACUCUGUCGAUGCUGAGCCCAAUACAAGUGUCAAUGUCGACAAUAAGCGAGGACCAAAAUUACAACAACGAGCCUAUGGCGUACGAGUUCCCGGAUGGCCAUGCGGGGUCACGACCUUUCAGCAUGUCCGAAGCUUCUGACUUUGGAUCACCAUGGCGUCGAGGACAUCGCCAGGGCAUUCUUAUUUGUGUGACCUUCGCCAUCGAGUUUCUUCUUCUAAUCUUCGUUAUUAUUAUCGAAUACUUCCUCAGGUGGACUGAUGCCUUUCCAUUGCGACGUCAGAACUUCUCGUGCUCAGACCCCGAGAUCUCGUGCUCGUCUCAUGACCAGCAGCUGAUGGCCGACUUCGCGUUUGGCGCCAACGUGCCUGACAGUGUCAUCUACGUGCUGAGUUUUUGUGUACCCGGCUUUGUGGUGUUCAUAGGUGAGCUGGGCUUGUGCACGUUUUCUGAAGGCCAACAGAAGAGCGUGCGUCUGGUGAACAGGGACUGCAAGGUGCCGCAGGUCGGCCGCCGCCUGCUGCGCUUUCUGGGUGUUUUUCUGUUUGGAAUCUUCGCCUUAAUGUUGUUUGUUGACGUCACUAAACUCCUCAUCGGCCGGCUACGGCCGGAUUUUCUACACACGUGUCGCGUAAAUGUCGCCUUGUGUAACACCAGCCUUAGCUCCGGCCUGUCCCUGGAUGACAGCGCCUGCCUCAACACAGACACAACCGAGAUCCGCGCUGCCAGAACUUCUUUCCCAAGUCUCACAUCCGCCCUGACAUCAUACGCAGCCAUCUUUCUAUCGGUGUACGUUCACGGCGCGCUGCGCUGUCACGUUGUGCGCAUCCUGAGGGCCUUCCUCGUCCUGGUCUUCAUCAUGCUGUCCCUCCUGAGUGGGCUGGCGGAGGUGGGGCGUUGCCAUAGCCACUGGACUGACGUGGCCGUGGGCUUCGGUGUGGGCGUCGUCAUGUCUACGUACUUGACUGUGGCAGUUCUCAACCAGUUCCGGGAGCACGUCACACAGACGGAGAUGUUGCACAUGUUGCGGUUGUUCAUGGCAGAUCACUGCAUGCCAUUUUAUGAGGACAAAGCGCACCUGGCACGGCCUUCCGACCCUUUGACGUCCAUGCACAUACCCCGUCCACAUCUACCACCCGGCCACAUACCCGGCCACCUGCGUCGAUCCGAGUCACCAAAAUCACAGCGUCGCCGGAACCAAAGUACUUUCCAGAGAGACCUGUCUCAGAGUGUGGACUACUACCGGCGCCAUCAUCCUUACCUUCAGGGUGCCGCCGCCCACAUGUGACAUCUUGCUAUGUGACAUGUGACAUGUUGGGGCUGGCAGGACAGUCACCACUCACCCGUCGCUGCAGUAUUCACAGGGGAAGCCCGAAGAACGUUUCAAACGGGUGCAUAACAGCGGGAGAGCAAAGUCGCGUGACUCCCGACCUUCGUUGAUGUCCUGGAUCAUGAAAUCACGUGACUCGUCCAACCACGAGACGUUACAAGUUGGGCGGUGUCGACCAUGAGAAGUCACGCAUACGCAUAACAUACAGAAGAUCCUGGUAGCUUUAGAUACCAGGACUAACAGACAUCAAGUAGCAAACUAGGCACACAAAACUUUGCUUCCCACCCCCAGCAGAUGAGAACAGUGACAACCAAGAUCAUUCAUCAAACUGUUGCUAAAAUUGUUGACACCAACCGUACAGAUUCGGGAACGUGGUGAGCUACCUGUCUGGAAAAAGAACAUUUUCAGUUUUAUUUCAUUUGGAUAAUAACGAAUGUACCAUUUAGUGUUUGACAAGGCUUCCAGUGAAGCGGUUGAUGGGAAGGAACCUUCAACUCAACUAAAACUGUUUUCGUAAGUUUGUACAAGAAACACUUUUGAAUUAUUUUGCUGUAUAUUGGAUCAAAUAAAACUGUCUACCCGUUGGCGUUGGACUAGGAACAAUA